rnacentral:rRNA from 1 species
AACGCGAAGAACCUUACCUGGGCUUGAACUACUGGUAGUAAGUCUCUGGAAACGGAGGCUGAUCCGCAAGGAAGCCAGCAGAGGUGCUGCAUGGUUGUCGUCAGCUCGUGUCGUGAGAUGUUGGGUUAAGUCCCGCAACGAGCGCAACCCCUAUCUCAUGUUGCUAAUCCCGCAAGGGAUGCACUUUUGAGAAACUGCCUUCGAUAAGAAGGAGGAAGGUGGGGACGACGUCAAAUCCUCAUGGCCCUUAUGUCCAGGGCUACACACGUGCUACAAUGGCCGGUACAACGGGAAGCAAUACCGUAAGGUGGAGCCAAACCCUGAAAGCCGGCCCCAGUUCAGAUCGUGGGCUGCAACUCGCCCACGUGAAGGCGGAAUCGCUAGUAAUCGCGAAUCAGCAGGUCGCGGUGAAUACGUUCCCGGGCCUUGUA